ACUGGUUGGAGGAUUAACACAACAAUCUGCACAACCUGAACCACAGAACUCAGCAGAACAUGGACGUGAUGCUAGAGGUGGCAUAACUAUUUUAUAGUGACAAGGAUGAAGGUCACAUACAAAGUAUGAAAGCCACAAGAAUCCAGAUCCGUGAGGGCAUCAUGGGGCUGCAUUACCAGCCUUGGACUGCUGACCUCCAGACUUUUUAAUGCGAGAAAAAUAAAACCAGUCACUUGUUGUUUAA